UCUCUCUUUCUUCCUUCCCUUUCGGUAUUUUAUUCUGUUUAUGAACUUCCUCUUCCCUCUCUUGUAAAACCAGGCAAAUAUCGACCCUCCUCCGACGUCCUCCUUAUCUGCCGACCGCCUCUCUACGGCCUCCAUCCACCUUUCCUUUCUUUUUGAACCGAGGUGCAAAUAAGGUGAAAAAGAUAGGAAAAUCCAAAGCCAACAUCUUCGGAACAAAAGCCGAACCCCAGCCUCCGAUCUGUCGGCUGGAAGUUUCCGUUGCGAAGAACUCCGAUAGAAACGCUGAAGCCCAGGCUCCUCGACUAUGAAGCCUCCAAUCUGUCAGCUGGAAGAUUCUGAAUCGAACAUCUCCGGCAGAAACGCCGAAGCCCAGCCUCCUUGACGGUGAAGCCUCCGAUCUGUCGGUUGGAGCUUUUUCCUUCUGUUUGAGGGAUCUCGUUUUGAACUUUCUGCCUGUGUUUUUGGGUUCUCAUUUGCCUUCAAUUUUUUGUUUUUUGAUUUGGCUGACCAUGGCUAGAAUUUCAUAAUUCCGUUGGGUUUGUGAUUUGGGCAUUUCGUUGGCUGCAAUUUUUUGUUCUAAUUUGCUUUGUUUUUCACAGGGAUAUCUGCAAUUUUUCGAUUUGGGCAUUGUCUGCUGUGAGUUUGAUUUUGGGACAGAAGUGUUGCAUUGUUUGAAAAUUCUGUGUUUUUGGGUUGCUGCUACUCGUGGGGGUACACUAAGCUAAGGAAAAACCAAAUGGAGAAGGGAGUGUCGAUGCUUCUGAAGAGGCAAUGAGUGCAGCAACUACUGCUGGUUGACAGAGCAGUCUUGGUGUUCCUCGAAUGCUGGUUAAAGAGAUAGCUGCUGCUUAGAUUCAGAAGGCUUUUCGGGCAUAGAGGGUUGAUUGAUUACACAUUGCAUCACAGAUGAAAAGCAACACAUCAUUUGGAUUGCCAGCAAAAAUAGGCCUUUUUGUUGCAGGUUAGUAUAAUUUUGCUCAACAAUUUUGCGACCUCGUGACUUACACUUU